UUGAACUGAAGAGUUUGAUCAUGGCUCAGAUUGAACGCUGGCGGCAGGCCUAACACAUGCAAGUCGAGCGGCAGCACGGGUACUUGUACCUGGUGGCGAGCGGCGGACGGGUGAGUAAUGCCUAGGAAUCUGCCUAGUAGUGGGGGAUAACGUCCGGAAACGGGCGCUAAUACCGCAUACGUCCUACGGGAGAAAGUGGGGGAUCUUCGGACCUCACGCUAUUAGAUGAGCCUAGGUCGGAUUAGCUAGUUGGUGAGGUAAUGGCUCACCAAGGCGACGAUCCGUAACUGGUCUGAGAGGAUGAUCAGUCACACUGGAACUGAGACACGGUCCAGACUCCUACGGGAGGCAGCAGUGGGGAAUAUUGGACAAUGGGCGAAAGCCUGAUCCAGCCAUGCCGCGUGUGUGAAGAAGGUCUUCGGAUUGUAAAGCACUUUAAGUUGGGAGGAAGGGCAGUUACCUAAUACGUGAUUGUUUUGACGUUACCGACAGAAUAAGCACCGGCUAACUCUGUGCCAGCAGCCGCGGUAAUACAGAGGGUGCAAGCGUUAAUCGGAAUUACUGGGCGUAAAGCGCGCGUAGGUGGUUUGUUAAGUUGGAUGUGAAAGCCCCGGGCUCAACCUGGGAACUGCAUCCAAAACUGGCAAGCUAGAGUAUGGUAGAGGGUGGUGGAAUUUCCUGUGUAGCGGUGAAAUGCGUAGAUAUAGGAAGGA
rnacentral:rRNA from 2 species